GCAAACUUGGUCAUUUAGAGGAAGUAAAAGUCGUAACAAGGUCUCCGUAGGUGAACCUGCGGAGGGAUCAUUAUUAGAGCGUAAAAACUCCUUAAACCCACUGUGGAUUUAUAUAAGUUUAUUGCUCCUUUGGUAGGCGGCUCCUGGGAGGUGCCUCUAAGCCGGCAACGGUGCCUACCAAGUGAGCGCAAAACUCUUAUUGCUUCUAGUUGUCUGAGCUUUUAUAAAAUAAAAUCAAAACUUUCAACAACGGAUCUCUUGGUUCUGGCAUCGAUGAAGAACGCAGC
rnacentral:misc_RNA from 1 species